CAGGAAGGGCCCUCUUUUCCCCUCCGCUCCUGCUCCAGCAGUACAAUGUGAUCUACCAGCAAGGAGGGACACCGUCAAGCAGGUAGAAAGUGCUUAACCAAGUGAGGGUAAUUAUGAAGGACGUGUUCUGGGUGCCAGCAACAUAGUGGAUGUUCAGUAAAUAACAAAGGGGGAAAAAUAGCUAUGGAUGACAUCAAAAUUGAAAAAGAUUUCCUGUGAACAAGAUACCUCUUAAUUAGAAGAGAUGACAUUUCAUCAAGCAACAUGGCCAUUUUAUCCAUUUGAUCAGAUAUAACUUGCCAAAGGAGAACCUCUCCCAAAUUUAGGGUUGGGAAAAGGUUUUGUUUUUGUCUUUUCAGGAGAAUAAAGGUGUCCAGCUAAGUAAUCCAGAGACCACUGGACAAAUAAGACAUCUGAUGAAAAAGAAAAAAAAUUAUCCAAAAAUUUUCCAUAAGAAAAGGAUUAAAUUGGCCUCUUGCCAUACUAUAUUUCCAACAGAAUAAAAUUUCACAUCUUC
rnacentral:lncRNA from 1 species